GAAGCUGGAUUCGCUAGUAAUCGCGCAUCAGCCAUGGCGCGGUGAAUACGUUCCCGGGCCUUGUACACACCGCCCGUCACACCAUGGGAGUCGGAAAUGCCCGAAGUCUGUGACCCAACCUACGGGAGGGAGCAGCCGAAGGCAGGUCGGAUGACUGGGGUGAAGUCGUAACAAGGUAGC
rnacentral:rRNA from 1 species